CUCUUAACUCAUAACCCUCUACUAGGACGAUUGGUGGAACUGCCUUUAGUCUGACUCCUGCCUUUCAACCUCAUUGGCUUGGGUAACCCUACCAUGAGUUAUACUUCAGGCAUGCUCUCAAAGUCAUAGGAUCACACUAACCCUAUUCCCGCCACAUCAAGGCGCUGCCUGACCUGCUGAGUAUUUCAGCAUUUUCUAUUUAUAUUCAUGCCUGAUCUUGCCCAAUAAAUAUAUGGAUGAAGAUGAAACUCAGAACAUCAAACUGCACUUCUGUUCUCCCAUGGAACUUAUUAAAAUGAAGGCCUAGAUUUUCCAGCCAGCAGGUCCACUGCCAGUUAUAAAGUUGUCCACAGGCUCAGCCAAACAUACUGCCUCAAGGUACAAGUAUUCUUCUCAUCAAAACAAGGAUGUUCAUGGACCAUUUUGAAAUAUGAGGCAUCUCUGCAACUGAAUCAAACAGCAAAUGGCCAUUUGCCUGAGGCACUGGAGGACUACUUGUUCUCGAAGAAUUGUACCCAAGCAACAGCCUCAGCUUCAGGAAGGCAGAAACCAAAGAAAACAAAGUUUAUUGGUUGGGCAAAGAAGAGUUGGACAGACGACAAAGAAGUACGUGCAGAAAAACUGAGAAAGAGAAAAUGAAGGGCUUGAGAUGGAGAGAAAAACAUGCUGAUGUUGUCUAUAAACC